rnacentral:antisense_RNA from 1 species
UGUGGGAGCGAGCCUGCUCGCGAUAGCGUCGGCACAAUCAAUAUCAAUGUGUCGGAAAGUUCGCUAUCGCGAGCAGGCUCGCUCCCACA